GGCGCACGGGUGAGUAAACUAUAGUUAAUGUACCCCAAAGACUGGGAUAGCCACUGGAAACGGUGAUUAAUACUAGAUACACCUUCUUAUCAUAAGGUAAGAAGGGAAAUGUCUUUUCGCUUUGGGAUCAGACUAUAUCCUAUCAGCUAGUUGGUGAGGUAAUGGCUCACCAAGGCAAUGACGGGUAGCGGUUCUGAGAGGAUGAUCCGCCACACUGGUACUGAGACACGGACCAGACUCCUACGGGAGGCAGCAGUGAGGAAUAUUGCACAAUGGGCGAAAGCCUGAUGCAGCAACGCCGCAUGGAGGAUGACGCAUUUCGGUGUGUAAACUCCUUUUAUAUGUCAAGAAAAUGACGGUAGCAUAUGAAUAAGCACCGGCUAACUCCGUGCCAGCAGCCGCGGUAAUACGGAGGGUGCAAGCGUUACUCGGAAUCACUGGGCGUAAAGGACGCGUAGGCUGUUUAGCAAGUCGGAUGUGAAAUCCAAUGGCUCAACCAUUGAACUGCAUUUGAAACUGCUAGACUAGAGUAUGGGAGGGGGAGAUGGAAUUAGUGGUGUAGGGGUAAAAUCCGUAGAUAUCACUA
rnacentral:rRNA from 1 species